AACUUUCAACAACGGAUCUCUUGGUUCUGGCAUCGAUGAAGAACGCAGCGAAAUGCGAUAAGUAGNGUGAAUUGCAGAAUUCAGUGAAUCAUCGAAUCUUUGAACGCACAUUGCGCCCCUCGGUAUCCCGGGGGGCAUGCCUGUUCGAGCGUCAUUU
rnacentral:rRNA from 1 species